rnacentral:tRNA from 1 species
GCCUGGAUAGCUCAGUUGGUUAGAGCAUGGUGUUGAUAAUGCCAGGGUUGCAGGUUCGAUCCCUGUAUGGGACA